UCGUGGGCCGAUGACAAUAAUGCCGUGGCCCGAGGUGCCGCCCUGGACCCGUUCAAGUCCUCUUGCUCCUCGGUGGAACGUCGAGACCCACAAAUCGGUCGUAGAGGGCUAGCGAGGAGGUAGAGGGGGAUGAAGACGGCAGAGAGAGUGAGACCAAGGUCGACGACCGGGCCCUACCAUCUCCGGCUAUCGAUUCCUCACCCACGUUAGGAGCUCUAGCAGCGGUUUCACCGCAGGAUCGGCGGAGAUGCUGUUGCUCCCGACAUCUUUGGGGUUGGCCGUGAGGACGACGCGGAAAGGAGGUAGUUUUCUAAGCAGCGGGAAUUGGAGAGGGCGGAAAAGCUGGAGGAGGCAAAGCGGGAUCCGGAAAAGAGGCUCAUAGUCUCCAAAAAGCAUUCUUGAAAGGCUUCCAUCAGCAGACUUUGUGGGCGUGAAGGUCCAUGAUGUGUUGAAGGAGAAGAGGAGGCAACAGAAACAUGCUUAGAAGUGGAAGGAGAUACUCAAGAACACAGAGAGGUUAGGGUAUAUUGAGAAGAGGGAUAAGAAGCUCUUGUGCCCGGGGUUCAAGAAUUGCGAAGUGGAAUAUGCCAAAGAAAAAACUGUUGCAUGUACAAAUUGCCCAUGGUUUUGAAGUCUAAUAAAGAAGAGGAGUCUGGAUUUCAAAUUUCAAGGACACCAUCUACAAGGACCAAAGAAGGAAAUCCAUUGGCCCCAUUUCCAGCAGCAUCUAAAAGAUGGUCAGAAUCAUUAACAAUAUGCCUCGUCAUGUGUACAUCUGACGAUGCCCAUGGAAGGUGAUGGGUGGUCCUGAGAACUUGUGGCUCUGAUCCUGCUUUGUGGUCCACAUGUUGUUGCUUGUGUUGUUUAUGAAGCAACAAAUCAGUACAUCAGUUGCUCAGAAAGACAUGUAAUUUUAUGUAGUCAUUCUUGCCUUUCAGAACUGCCCUAUGGCAAUUUUUGAUCUCAACAAACAGUCUAUACCCUUUUCAUCUUCCUCGUUAUCCAACUGAUUCCUCCAAACAGAGAAAAGUCAUUGAUCCUCUUUGAACGUUAGAUGGUAGUUCCUUGGUUUAAUCACUUGAACACAAUCUUUUGUAACCUUGAACAUUGUCUGAACAUGUUAUUUCUUUUGAAGUUUUAGUGGUUGGAUAUUCUGUGAACUGCUAAAUAGUGUCUUACUAAAUGAUGAAUUAGCAGGCAAUAUAGGGAAUUUACCAUGAUUGAAGUCAACUCAAUAGAAUUUGCCAUGGUCAGACAUCAUGUAGCCAUUCUGAAGUAACAAUAGAAUGUUAUCAGACUACUUACUUGUCUUUAAGUCGAUUCGAUAGUGAAGUGGUGCUUCUAUCUGUUGCUCUGCGAUUGAAUAGCUUUUCUCUUGGAUGUGUCUUUGCCUGGAUGUUAAGCAUACCAUUGAUGGUUGUUGAUGGCUGGGAACAGCAACCUGUAUACUGUUUCAUAUCUCACUGAUGUUUUCUGUGGUUGUUUAGAUUCAAACAAGAACAGCCAAAGACAAAGCAGAUAAAGGUUGAUAUCAAGUGUCGUGAUUUCACCAAAUGGGUUAUGCCAGAGGACAAAGCAGGAAGGCCAACAAGGGGAAGAGGACAGCAGCAUGAAUGCACAAUGGAGGACAGUCUUCUGAGCUGAGCUGAGCUGAGGCGAAGUCAUGAUGGCAUUGUGGCGGUGGGGAGGAGCGGAUUGCAGUGGCGUUCCUUUCGUUCCCACUCCGGGCAAAAAGCUUUGACCCUUUGCUGUCGAUCUGUGAAAGCAGAAUCGCAGAGAAGACACGAAGAUGAAGGCAAACUGGUUUCCCGCUGCAUGCACUCGACGAUUUGUCGUCGUGGGGUCUCCUCGAGCCUCAGUGCCAUGCAACGUGCUCUUCCAUGUCUCUCGCCGGCCAACCUCUGAGAACUCUCUCUCUCUCUCUCUCUCUCUCUCUCUCUCUCUCCCACAUUGCCAUCUAAUUGCUAUCAUAGCACCAAAUCAGAAUGAUAAGUAGCCUUGUAGAAUAUUUCCCCAAACUGCAUAUGAUUAAGGUCUUCCUACUAUAAACAAUAGUCGCUUCAAAUACUAUCUUGAUUUUGGAUA